AAUAAAAAUGGUCAGUGAGAUUUGCAUAAUUCUUUAAUUUACACGAUCACGUGACUACCUUUUUAAGGGUUUGUUUGUCAAACCAACUCUUUCAGUUAACGAGGAUAUUAAUUGAUUUUUCAUGAAAUGACUAAAAUGAUUUAUGGUGGACAAACUCAAAGACUACUUCUAUCAAUUUUCAUUGUCAGAGACUAAAGUAAGUUGUUAUUCCAUUUUCAGAAAUCAUUUUAGCCAAAUACCACUUGGGAUUAUCACAAAUAUAUUGCUUGGGAUUAUACGUAUAUCAUCUUCCUUCGUUUGAAAGGAAUCAUAUCUUUUUAGAAGUGUGUAUAGAUCUUCAUGUAUAAAAUAAGUAUGCCACAUCAAGAUUCAAAUCUUUUAGGCAAAAAAAUAUUUAAGGUCUUAAUAAGGGUCCGUCACUCAGUAUUACAGUCUGAUGAUAUUCCUCUUUACUUAGAAGUGAGAGGUCUUAGGUUUGAAUUUCGUUGAUGGUGAAUUUGAUAUCAAAUUAGGCUACUCAUUAUGUGGCUUAGCCGAAUUCUCCAUUCUCUUAGUGUAAAAAUAUCGAUGUACAAAAAAAAAAAUAAUAAUAAGGGCCCAAGCUACAAUUUUGUAUGUUUGUGUACCAACUUUUGGACAAGGCAAAUAUUUAGACAAGAAUUACCAUAUGAUUAAACUCACAAUCUAGCCGAUGACUUAUGUUAUAUUGUGCUAAGAGAAAAUUAGCCGACCGAUGGCAUCAAAGAUUCGAAAUUAUGUAUUUUAAUAAGCCCAAAAAUAGAUUAAUAUAUAACGCAAAACUAAGGUUGUAUAACCAUAAAACUUUUUUAUUUCAUUUGAAAUCGUAUGUAUAUAAUUCUAAUUUCUUGCUCAUGUUUUCGUUAUGUACGUGCGCAAUAAUUUCGUGUAGAAUAUAU
rnacentral:lncRNA from 1 species